UGCUUUGGCAUGUUCAAUUGUGAUAUUUGACAGACAUCCUUACAGUUUAAGAUGACACUUUUAAAAUAAAUUCUCUCUGAAUGAUGACUUGAGCCCUGCCACUCAAUGGGAGAAUCAGCAGAACCUGUAGGAUCUUAUUUGGAAUUGACAUUCUCUAUCGUAAUUUUGUUCCUGUUUAUUUUUAAAUUUUCUUUUUGUUUCACUGGAAGGAAAGGAAAGAUGAUGCUCAGUUUUAAAGGUUAAAAGUGUACAAGUUGCUUUGUUACAAUAAAACUAACUGU
rnacentral:lncRNA from 1 species